AUUGAACGCUGGCGGCAUGCCUUACACAUGCAAGUCGAACGGCAGCACGGGUGCUUGCACCUGGAGGCGAGUGGCGAACGGGUGAGUAAUGCAUCGGAACAUGUCCUGUAGUGGGGGAUAGCCCGGCGAAAGCCGGAUUAAUACCGCAUACGAUCUACGGAUGAAAGCGGGGGACCUUCGGGCCUCGCGCUAUAGGGUUGGCCGAUGGCUGAUUAGCUAGUUGGUGGGGUAAAGGCCUACCAAGGCGACGAUCAGUAGCUGGUCUGAGAGGACGACCAGCCACACUGGGACUGAGACACGGCCCAGACUCCUACGGGAGGCAGCAGUGGGGAAUUUUGGACAAUGGGCGAAAGCCUGAUCCAGCAAUGCCGCGUGUGUGAAGAAGGCCUUCGGGUUGUAAAGCACUUUUGUCCGGAAAGAAAUCCUUGGCCCUAAUACGGUCGGGGGAUGACGGUACCGGAAGAAUAAGCACCGGCUAACUACGUG
rnacentral:rRNA from 1 species